rnacentral:misc_RNA from 1 species
AAGUCGUAACAAGGUUUCCGUAGGUGAACCUGCGGAAGGAUCAUUACACAUAUUACGGGGGUCGGCUUCAAGGUGUGUGUAUCCCACAUGCUUUGACCUGCCCUGUCUGAAUAUUCCACCCAUGUCUUUUGCGUACUAUUUGUUUCCUUGGUAGGCUUGCCUGCCAAUAGGACAUUAUACAACCUUUUGUAAUUGCAAUCAGCGUCUGAAAAAACUUAAUAAUUAAAACUUUCAACAACGGAUCUCUUGGUUCUG